GAUGAACGCUAGCGGGAGGCCUAACACAUGCAAGCCGAGCGGUAUUGUUUCUUCGGAAAUGAGAGAGCGGCGUACGGGUGCGGAACACGUGUGCAACCUGCCUUUAUCUGGGGGAUAGCCUUUCGAAAGGAAGAUUAAUACUCCAUAACAUAUUGAUUGGCAUCAAUUAAUAUUGAAAGCUCCGGCGGAUAGAGAUGGGCACGCGCAAGAUUAGCUAGUUGGUGAGGUAACGGCUCACCAAGGCGAUGAUCUUUAGGGGGCCUGAGAGGGUGAUCCCCCACACUGGUACUGAGACACGGACCAGACUCCUACGGGAGGCAGCAGUGAGGAAUAUUGGUCAAUGGGUGCAAGCCUGAACCAGCCAUCCCGCGUGAAGGACGACUGCCCUAUGGGUUGUAAACUUCUUUUGUAUAGGGAUAAACCUACCCUCGUGAGGGUAGCUGAAGGUACUAUACGAAUAAGCACCGGCUAACUCCGUGCCAGCAGCCGCGGUAACACGGAGGGUGCAAGCGUUAUCCGGAUUUAUUGGGUUUAAAGGGUCCGUAGGCGGACUUAUAAGUCAGUGGUGAAAGCCUGUCGCUUAACGAUAGAACUGCCAUUGAUACUGUAAGUCUUGAGUAUAUUUGAGGUAGCUGGAAUAAGUAGUGUAGCGGUGAAAUGCAUAGAUAUUACUUAGAACACCAAUUGCGAAGGCAGGUUACCAAGAUAUAACUGACGCUGAGGGACGAAAGCGUGGGGAGCGAACAGGAUUAGAUACCUUGGUAGUCCACGCCGUAAACGAUGCUAACUCGUUUUUGGGCUUUAGGGUUCAGAGACCAAGCGAAAGUGAUAAGUUAGCCACCUGGGGAGUACGCUCGCAAGAGUGAAACUCAAAGGAAUUGACGGGGGCCCGCACAAGCGGUGGAUUAUGUGGUUUAAUUCGAUGAUACGCGAGGAACCUUACCAAGACUUAAAUGGGAAUUGACAGCUUUAGAAAUAGAACUUUCUUCGGACAAUUUUCAAGGUGCUGCAUGGUUGUCGUCAGCUCGUGCCGUGAGGUGUUAGGUUAAGUCCUGCAACGAGCGCAACCCCUGUCACUAGUUGCCAUCAUUCAGUUGGGGACUCUAGUGAGACUGCCUACGCAAGUAGAGAGGAAGGUGGGGAUGACGUCAAAUCAUCGCGGCCCUUACGUCUUGGGCCACACACGUAAUACAAUGGCCGGUACAGAGGGCAGCUACACAGCGAUGUGAUGCAAAUCUCGAAAGCCGGUCUCAGUUCGGAUUGGAGUCUGCAACUCGACUCUAUGAAGCUGGAAUCGCUAGUAAUCGCGCAUCAGCCAUGGCGCGGUGAAUACGUUCCCGGGCCU
rnacentral:rRNA from 1 species